CGUUUUAUAUUUUAAAUUAAAAUUUUAAAUUGCAAGUUUAAAGAUACCUAUUUAAUGGUUAAGAUGU
rnacentral:tRNA from 3 species